CCGCGGCAGCUGGCCAACUCUCCUCCCCUGGUUGCCAAGCUCUGGCCUGUGAGGCGCUGAGCCGAAGCCACUGCAAUUGCAAAGCUCCCUUGCAGCCCCUUUGCAGGUUGCAUUUACAGACUCCCUCCAGCUAGCCUUGGGGGACAAUUAAAUCACUAACUCCCUUUCUCCCCCCUCUUCCACUCAAAAGAGUUCACAUUUUUCAGGAUCUGGAGAUACAUGAAUAUUUCUGCAGCACUGAGAAGUCACACAAUCGGAUUUCUUGCGGGUGGCAGAGCCAGGACAAGCACCAUUUAAGGGCGCUGGCUACAUUGAUGUACCAUGGCAGCUACAAGUGUCCAGGCACCACGCAGCUUGCCUCCAACUCCAUCUGCCUCAGAAUCAAGCUUUCUUGAGACUUCUGUGAGAGAACGAAUGAGAGAGAAACUGAAAGCAGCACGGG